CCGAAUUCUUCCACAACAGAGUUUGAUCCUGGCUCAGAACGAACGCUGGCGGCAGGCUUAAUACAUGCCAGUCGAACGGUUGUAGCAAUACAGCAGUGGCAGACGGGUGAGUAACACGUGGGAACCUACCUAGGGGUACGGAAUAACCCAGGGAAACUUGUGCUAAUACCGUAUACGGCCUCAGGGUGAAAGAUUUAUCGCCCCUAGAUGGGCCCGCGUUGGAUUAGCUAGUUGGUGAGGUAAAAGCUCACCAAGGCGACGAUCCAUAGCUGGUCUGAGAGGAUGAUCAGCCACACUGGGACUGAGACACGGCCCAGACUCCUACGGGAGGCAGCAGUAGGGAAUCUUGGACAAUGGGCGAAAGCCUGAUCCAGCCAUGCCGCGUGAGUGAUGAAGGCCUUAGGGUUGUAAAGCUCUUUCGCCAGGGAAGAUAAUGACGGUACCUGGAUAAGAAGCCCCGGCUAACUUCGUGCCAGCAGCCGCGGUAAUACGAAGGGGGCUAGCGUUGUUCGGAAUUACUGGGCGUAAAGCGCACGUAGGCGGUUUUCCAAGUUGGAGGUGAAAUCCCCGGGCUUAACCUGNGAACUGCCUCCAAGACUGGGAGACUCGAGUCCGAGAGAGGUGAGUGGAUUUUCCAGUGUAGAGGUGAAAUUCGUAGAUAUUGGAAAGAACACCAGUGGCGAAGGCGGCUCACUGGCUCGGUACUGACGCUGAAGAGCGACAGCGUGG
rnacentral:rRNA from 1 species